AAGAUGCUGGAAGCAGACACAAGAAAAAUGAUACCUACAUACAAAGAAGAAAUUAAUGAACAACCAUGGCCCCAUAUUAAUGAACAUUAGGAGGCAGAUGUGUACCUAGGUAAUUUUGGAGCCUGGACAUAAAGUGCUUUAGAACUCCCCACCACCACCACUGCAAAUUUCCCUUCCUUCUGCUUGUACUGGUCUGUGCUGUUUGUGCUAGAUGUGCAUUUAAGGCUUGCACUUGUUAAAUGGGAUGCCCAGAAUCAGGAAGGCAGAAACCAGGAUCCAGUUGAACCUCAACUAGUGCCAGCUGUGCCAGCUGCCCCUUCGCCACACGUGGAAUUGCCGGGGCUGAGCGAAGCAGGCAGCUGGUAGGUGUUGGAGAUGGCUGGCCAAUCCUGCCUGAGCAUAUUAUGAGGAUCUUAGUUCAUCUCAAGGCAUCUGGUGACAUGUUGCUGAUACUAGGCUGAGGACCAAUGCAGAUGACUGUGGUGGGUUGAAACGAACUGAGAAAAUGUGGAUGUUCCUGAUUAUGACUUGACUUUGGAUGAGCAUGAACCACAGUGACCUCUGUGCCUUGCCUCUCACUUGGAAUAACCCCUUUUCCUUUAGCUUCAUCAUUGCAAUUCCAAUUGUUUUGCA